rnacentral:lncRNA from 1 species
AGGCCCCUGUGUUGAAGGCUCCAUAACCAUACGUGAGACUCUGGAGGAGGUGGUGGGACCUUGAAGAGGAGAGACCGGGGAAGGAGAAGUAUUACCAAGUAAACAGGAAGAGCAUAGCCAGCAGCUUCCACAUCUAUAGAAAUGACAGAGACCGCUGGCUGCCCUGACAGUCACCCAACGCUUCUCUGCAACACUGGCUCCAGCAGUUCACCGGCAGCCUACUGGCCCAGGAUAUCUGCAGACUUAUCUGUGAAGCUGGACUAUGGAGGACCAGGCUACUUUAUCUUUGCAAAGCUAGGCAGAUAACUUCCUCUGUGUCCUGCUUGUCCACAGUUUGGGCAGCAUUCUGUCAGCAGCUGAAGCAAGGGCAAGUUUUUUGUUUUUUGUUUUUUGUUUUUUGUUUUUUGUUUUUUGUUUGUUUGUUUGUUUUUGCUGAUGGCUAGCCGUGCCACAAUGGAAGGGAACUCCAUGUAGAGGUUCUUCAAUGCCCAUCUUCUUCUUUGAAGUAGUAUGGGAAUGUUGCCACGAGCAGACCCAUCUAGUGUCAUGAAAAGCCUUGUGUUAAUAAAGCAUCUUUAAA